rnacentral:lncRNA from 10 species
CGGCCGCGCGGCCCCGCCCGUCGGCCUCGCUCCCGCCACAGAGCCCGCAGCACGCCGCCGCCGCAGCCUAGGUCACAUUACUAGGAAAGCCAAGUCUCUCUUCCUGGAUUUCUUCUCCUAUAAACCGCCUAUUGAUACCUACCCACUUCUCUAUGGAGCACAGAUGAAGGAUAUUGGUCAUCUCCAGCAUCUAGCACAACGUCUGCAAUGGAACAGGCGAGCUGUGAAUAUUUGUGGAAUGCAUGGGUGGACUAAAGACCUAUCACCUCACUCUAGAAUGCCCAGCAUGUUGGAGCAUGUUAAGCACUAUAUGAGCUGCUGAGGAUACAGGAAUAAACAACAACACAGGUGUGUCCUCUGCCCAAACCAGGCAUAAAUGAGCUUCCAAAUGAACACAAACAAAUCUGGAAGGCUUUUGAGGAAGAAGGACCAUUAAAAAAGGUACAGAAAGAAUGUAUUGAGAUCAUGUUUAUCCAUCACUGAAAUAAAAUACGCUCCAAAAUUUCAA